rnacentral:rRNA from 1 species
GAACGCUGAAACCGGAGCUUGCUUUGGUGGAUGAGUGGCGAACGGGUGAGUCACACGUGGGUCAUCUGCCCUACACUUUGGGAUAAGCCUGGGAAACUGGGUCUAAUACCGAAUAUUCACACCACCGUAGGGGUGGUGUGGAAAGCCUUAUGCGGUGUGGGAUGAGCCUGCCGCCUAUCAGCUUGUUGGUGGGGUAAUGGCCUACCAAGGCGUCGACGGGUAGCCGGCCUGAGAGGGUGUACGGCCACAUUGGGACUAAGACACGGCCCAGACUCCUACGGGAGGCAGCAGUAGGGAAUAUUGCACAAUGGGCGCAAGCUGAAUGCAGCAACGCCGCGUGGGGGAUGAAGGCCUUCGGGUUGUAAACUCCUUUCGCUAGGGACGAAGCCUUAUGGUGACGGUACCUGGAGAAGAAGCACCGGCUAACUACGUGCCAACAGCCGCGGUAAUACGUAGGGUGCCAGCCUUGUCCGGAAUUACUGGGCGUAAAGAGCUCGUAGGUGGUUUGUCGCGUCGUCUGUGAAAUCCCGGGGCUUAACUUCGGGCGUUCAGGCGAUACGGGCAUAACUUGAGUUCUGUAGGGGAGACUGGAAUCCCUGGUGUAGCGGUGAAAUGCGCAGAUAUCAGGAGGAA